CAGUACUUGAGACAAGUUUUGCCUACAUAGGAUUUGGUGACUGAAUUGGAACAGAUUAGCUGGCAUUUUAUUUUCCUCCAUUAUCUAGAUCAUCAAGGAAGGGGCAGGACACCUGGAAAUGAAGUUGCAGGGCAGAAGAGAGUCUUAGCACAGUCAGAAGAGCUUUGUGAAAUCUUAUCCCUCCAGCAAGUUUCCAAGAGGAGAGAAAAACACAUAGUAUGGAGGAGGCAGGAAGAAAAGGACGUAUAAGAUGCAGAGAUAAGCAUGACUGUCUGGAGAUCCACUCAACUCUCUUCUAAAUGCCCCCAAUGAAUCCUCACUGAUCCACACUGCAUUUGUACAGCACAUGCAUGUGUCUGUACCUGCUGCAUCAUCUAGAGAAGUUACCGAAGAUCUACCAGUAGCACACCAAGUCUUCUUCAUCAAGAGACAGGAGCCAGAUGGCAAAUGAGGGGACAAUGUACUGUCACUGAAGUUGAAAACUUGCCUCCAGAUGGUGGACUUCACAUAUCUGUAAGAAUGUCUGAAUGCACUUUCCAGUUGGGUUAUGAUGACUAUGUGGCAAUUACCCUUGCCAGCAUCACCAAGAGAUAUGGCACUUACUUAUCAAAUUUCUAUACCACCUGAAAUGUACAUCUCUAGGCAAUGUACAAAAUUUAAAAUAUUUAGAAGUUACCAA